rnacentral:rRNA from 1 species
GGGUGGUAAUGCCGGAUGCUCCAGUUGGACGCAUGUCCUUUUGGGAAAGAUUCAUCGGUAUGGGAUGGGGUCGCGUCCUAUCAGCUUGAUGGCGGGGUAACGGCCCACCAUGGCUUCGACGGGUAGCCGGCCUGAGAGGGCGACCGGCCACAUUGGGACUGAGAUACGGCCCAGACUCCUACGGGAGGCAGCAGUGGGGAAUAUUGCACAAUGGGCGCAAGCCUGAUGCAGCGACGCCGCGUGCGGGAUGACGGCCUUCGGGUUGUAAACCGCUUUUGACUGGGAGCAAGCCCUUCGGGGUGAGUGUACCUUUCGAAUAAGCACCGGCUAACUACGUGCCAGCAGCCGCGGUAAUACGUAGGGUGCAAGCGUUAUCCGGAAUUAUUGGGCGUAAAGGGCUCGUAGGCGGUUCGUCGCGUCCGGUGUGAAAGUCCAUCGCUUAACGGUGGAUCCGCGCCGGGUACGGGCGGGCUUGAGUGCGGUAGGGGAGACUGGAAUUCCCGGUGUAACGGUGGAAUGUGUAGAUAUCGGAAAAGAACACCA